UGCGGUUCGUUCCACGCGUGCGUUUCGCGAUAUUUUUUCAUGGGGCCCCAUGCGCGUUUUGCGUCGACGCAAGGCACAUUACUUGUAUAUUCUAAUAAAAUUUGCGCUAUAAGCGCGAAGCAAGAAAAUCAAAGAAUUGGUAAAGUAUAAAUCACAAUCGGCAUUAUUACGUACAUAAGCUCUUUUCUAGAAACAUCGAUGUUGUGACGUCACGUAGUGGUGAUGACGCAACAGAAGAACCCACUUCAACAUAGUGGUGACGUCACAGCGGACCAAGCGGACCAUAACGUAAAGCAA